ACCUGCUGUCACCGCCUCCUCCUCUCUGCGUGCUGCGCCCGCCCCGCCCGCGCCGCCUGUGCGCAAGGCCCGCCCCAUCCCGGGCUCCAGAUCCAGCGCUGGGCCCUGCCUCGUGGUCCCACGCGUACUCAGACCACGCUACCCACUCCUCACACGGUCAGGACCAGCGCUCCCCAGGUUCUAGAAUGUAAACACUCCAGGAGAUAACAGCCCACAGUCACCUGAGACUCAACCUGGCUCCUCAAUCAGCAAAGCCUGAGUCUUACGAAUUGGUGAUGGGCCAGAUAACAGUUCCCAGAGAGGUGGGGCCAUGAUCCUUUCUGAGAUGAAGGAGCUGGGUGGAAUCUGAACUGCCUCUAGAGCUGCUUUUCCAGUCUUACAGGGUUUGUAAGUUGAGGACAGUUGUUCUACCUGUCCAACCGCAUCACCCUAAUUUUCUUCCUUCCAUCUGGGUAUUUAGUUUUAUUUUAAUUUAGGGAAGAAGGCCUAAAAAAGAAUUCCUAUCAGGCUCUGAACAUCAACUUCCAGUUUGACCAAAUUUCUGAUGAUAAGUUGCUAAAUCCUUUCAAAUACCUUGUCAGGUUUCAGCUGAGACAAACAGUAACUACCUGGCUGUAUUGAACAGUUUCAAUAAUCUUUAAUAUAGCAGUUUCCAAGAAAAAUCUCUCAGUCUCAUUAACUCUAGGGGUAGACUACCAAGAUGUCUGUAAAGUCAUGGCCUAAUAUAUUCCUUCAGGUACAUUUUAAAUGUAACUCUUUAUUAGCUUUUUGCAACAAAACUUUCAAUAAGGUUAUUUUGGAAUUUUGAAGUCUUUACUUCUUAAGUGCACUUUUUAAAUAAUCUUAUCUAAUUGGAACGUUCUUUCUAAUGGCCAGUGUAAUUCCCCUGAGGCUGGCAGCAGUUUGGUAGAACCCUUAGCCAUGGAUGGAGUGCAACCUACAUUUCUGUCUGAGUAUCCCUGACCACAAUAUGGGGUGAAACUACAUUUUGUCUGAUCAUAUUUUGGGACCUCAACCUGAUGUUUAGUACGCCAACCUCUCAGAACGUGAAAAAAGCUUGGUAACAGCGGGAUUUUUCAGAGGAUCGCUAAAACAUCUCAAAAGAUUGGUUUUCUCUCCUUAUAAAAAGAGAGACAUUAAGCUAAUUAAGCUUAUCUGAUAUGUUAAAUUACAGGGGAAGUGUCGUCAAGUAAGAAAUAACAUUAAGCCUUCUUUAUGUUAUGUCUUUGUAAGUAUGUUAUAAGAGUUCAAGAAAUUAUGUGAAAUUCCUGGGAGUCUAACAUGUCCUGGGAUAAAAUGUUGUCUGUCAUCAAAAUUGAGGUUCACACUAAAAGUCAGGAAAGCUCCUUAGCUGAUUUUCAGAUAAAGGCAGCAACCACAGAAUCUAUAAAGAUUGGCUUAUGUGGAUGAAGUUCACUCUGCCUCUGCAAAGAAUAGUCCCUCAUUGCCAGACUUUUGGCAUCCUGAUGUCCUUAUAACAUGGCAACAGUCUGCUCCUAAAGCACAGAAAUUAAGGUGGUUGAACAAUGGCUGUAAAUUCAACAAACAGUCAGGACUAUGGAAAACUGAAGAUGGCUGCUGGGCUUUUCCCAGCUCCCUGGCAAAUCCCAUUUUUCAGUUUUUAAAUUCCUUCACCCAGUACAGGAGAAACUAUUUCUGUCCCCAGAGGCCUCAGAACUCCUCCCUCGGGGUCCUUUGAGCCCCUGAAGCCAGACUUCACUCAGCUGCCACUUCCUAUGGCUCAUCAAUACGUUCUUGUUGUUGUCUGUGGUUUCUGGAUGGGUUAAAGCCUUUCCCUUGCUACAAAGCUGAUGCCCUCACAAUGGCAGAGAAACUGCUAGAACACAUGCUUCCCACUUGAGAUGUACCUUCCACGAUCUCCAGGCACCCGCUUCAAUGGGCAAAUCAUACGACCCUUAACAAAAACUUUCCAAACUCUUGGGAUUAUCACUGUCCCUGUCACCCUCAAUAAUCAGGCAAAGUCAAGAAAACUAAUGAAAAACUAGAUUCAAGCUGAAGAAAUAUUAAAUUACAUAGAACUACAUGAGGUGAGAAAGAUGCUCUAAUGUUUUGUUUUUCCAGAUUUAAAGAAAUCAUUUCUCUUAAUCUAUUGACAAUUUGGUAACACCUACCUUUGUAAAGAAAGGUGAAACAUUGACUUUUUCUCCCUACCUGAUCCCUCCAGAAUUCAGAAAGUCUCAGCAAGUGUUCUUAUUUCACUUGUAUAAAUGAUCAGGCCAACUUUUUAAUAUAAGUAAAUUAGUUUUACUGUGAUUAUCUUUGGCAAAAAAAAAAAAAAAUUGAGGCUAAUUGUAGAGAGAAAAAUUCUGUUUGCACCUUUGUAGACAUUAGAUUCUAGUCCUGUUAAUUGUCUCUGAGGUUUGUUACACACUGUGGACUGGACUGCCCUGGCCUAAGGUAUUGCCUUCGGCCUUGCUGGCUGUUGGCAGUGCCCUCUUUGGAAAACAUAGACUAACUCCACAUGGGACAGUCACCAGCAGAUCAGUGUCUGUUGGUCCACAACCUUCUGCUGCUCCCCUGUUGUCUUAUGUGAGUGUGACCAGCUCCUGUGAGUCUCUACUGUCUUAUCCCCAGCCCAUUACCAACAGGUUAAAGACACUUUCCUGGAUCCCACUUUAAAGGGUCCUGUUGGACACACUUUACAGCCUGGUGACUGGGUAUUCUGGAAGCAUCAGAGGAGGAGGCCAGCCCUCGAGCGCCACUGGGAAGGACCUCACCAAGUGCCCCUGACCACUGACACUGCUACCGAACUAGAAGAAAUUGCCCCCUUUAGGUUACACCUUUGUGUGUGAUUACCACCAUGGGCUUAUGAAAUCUAGACAGUUGGCAUAUGGCAGGACAAUGCCUUUCAGGAUGCCAUAAUUUUCAAUUUCAAGUUUUUGUUAAAGAAGAAACCCAAUUGCAGUCUCAUAGGUCUAGGCAAGACUUCAAGACCCCCUUUUUACACCUCGUCUUCCUCUCCACUGAUUAUCAUUGACAAAGGCUUUGCCCCUUUGACUGAUGUUGUCCAUGAUGAGCUGCUGAUUAAAAAAUGUAUCCCUAACCAUAGCCACACUGGCAAAUUCUACCGCUCAAGCCCUAGCUCAACAACAAUGAUCCGUGGAUUCCCUAGCAAGGGUCAUAUUAGAUAAUCAAACAGCACCCCAUUAUCUCCUUGCAGGACAGAGUAGCAUCUGUGUCACAGCCAACACCUCCCGCUGUACCUGCAUCAACUUUUCCAGUGAAGUUGAGUUAUAAAUUGGAAAAAAAUCACAAAAAUAGCACAGGAUUUCUGUAGUCCAAUGUCUUUUAGUAACACUUUUUGGUUCCCUAUUAGUGUUUUCAGCUGCUUCCUUCAGGUAAAGGUGCUUGGAUAACACCAGGACUUCAACUAUUGUUUAUGAUUAUUACUGGAAAUGUGCUAUAUGCACUCGUAUUUAAGCUUCUUGUGCUGCUACUCACUCAGAUCUGCUCCAGAACUUCUACAAACACCAAGAUCAUGGUCACUCAACAUGUUGAACUGAUAGAUAAGUUAUUCAUCUGAAACUUCAGGUAAUCAGAUGAAAUUCCCAGGCAGGGAAACUCCCUAAGUGUUGUUUCUUUUUUAUUUAUUUAUUUAGUUUUAUUUUUUAAAGAUUGGCACCUGAGCUAACAACUGUUGUGAAUCUUCUUUC